rnacentral:rRNA from 1 species
CCUACGGGUGGCAGCAGUGAGGAAUAUUGGUCAAUGGGCGGGAGCCUGAACCAGCCAAGCCGCGUGAGGGAAGAAGGUACAGCGUAUCGUAAACCUCUUUUGUCAGGGAACAAAGGCGGGGACUAGUCCCCGGAUGAGGGUACCUGAAGAAAAAGCAUCGGCUAACUCCGUGCCAGCAGCCGCGGUAAUACGGAGGAUGCGAGCGUUAUCCGGUUUUAUUGGGUUUAAGGGGUGCGAAGGCGGUCUGUUAAGUCAGCGGUCAAAGCCCGGGGCUCAACCCCGGCCCGCCGUUGAAACUGGCAGUCUCGAGUUGGAGAGAAGUAUGCGGAAUGCGCGGUGUAGCGGUGAAAUGCAUAGAUAUCGCGCAGAACUCCGAUUGCGAAGGCAGCAUGCCGGCUCCACACUGACGCUGAGGCACGAAAGCGUGGGUAUCGAACAGGAUUAGAUACCCCGGUAGUC